UACGGAGGGUGCAAGCGUUGCUCGGAAUUAUUGGGCGUAAAGGGUAGGUAGGUGGUCUCGUUUGUCUAGGGUGAAAGCCUUGAGCUUAACACAAGAAGUGCCCUAGAAACGGCGAGACUAGAGUUCUGGAGAGGGUCGUGGAAUUCCCAGUGUAGAGGUGAAAUUCGUAGAUAUUGGGAAGAACACCGGUGGCGAAGGCGGCUCUCUGGACCGAGACUGACGCUGAGGCGCGAAAGCGUGGGGAGCAAACAGG
rnacentral:rRNA from 1 species